rnacentral:rRNA from 1 species
UACGUAGGUGACCAGCGUUGUCCGGAUUUACUGGGCGUAAGAGCGCGCAGGCGGUCGUUCAAGUCGAGUGUGAAAGCCCCCGGCUCAACUGGGGAGGGUCACUCGAUACUGAUCGACUUGAAGGCAGGAGAGGGAAGCGGAAUUCCCGGUGUAGUGGUGAAAUGCGUAGAUAUCGGGAGGAACACCAGUGGCGAAGGCGGCUUCCUGGCCUGUUCUUGACGCUGAGGCGCGAAUGCUAGGGGAGCAAACGGG